GCAUUGAAACCCUGGUUCCCAUAUGAUCACCAAAGUUAAGCAACAUCGACCCUGGUCAGUACCUAACUGGGUGACCACUUGGGAAUACCCAUACUG